rnacentral:rRNA from 1 species
UACGUAGGGUGCAAGCGUUGUCCGGAAUUAUUGGGCGUAAAGAGCUCGUAGGCGGUCUGUCGCGUCUGCUGUGAAAACUCAGGGCUUAACCCUGAGCUUGCAGUGGGUACGGGCAGACUAGAGUGCGGUAGGGGAGACUGGAAUUCCUGGUGUAGCGGUGAAAUGCGCAGAUAUCAGGAGGAACACCGGUGGCGAAGGCGGGUCUCUGGGACGUGACUGACGCUGAGACGCGAAAGCGUGGGGAGCAAACAGG